AAUAAAAUAAGGCGCCAAAAAAUUAACACUCUCUAUAUUCGACUCUAAAAUUAGGUCAUUCACGCCCAAUUGUUGCUCCAACAUAAUCAGUUUUCCAUUCAUUUUCUCAGUGAAAGCUCAAUUUUGUUUCUCCCUAAUCUCACUGUUUUCAAUCGCAGCUUCUUCACUUAAUUUUGUUUCUCCCUAAUCUCACUGUUUUCAAUCGCAGCUUCAUCAAAUUAUGAAGAAAUUACUACGUUAUAGUGUUUCCAUCCUAACAACUGAGAUUUGUGCUUUCCUCAUUUGUUGUAUUCUCGACAGGAUCUAGAUUAUUCAGCUGCUGGAAACGAUGCAGGUACAAGAGAGAAGGCCUGAACUAGCUACACACAGGAUUUGAAGUUUCAAUUGCUACGAAUUAUGAUGAUUUCAAACAAGUUCGACAAAUUUUUGGUCAUUUUUCUAGGAUUGUUGAACAAAACAUUAGAAUAUGUACGAAGGAUGUUAGCCAUUGUGGGCUAAUGACCUGUGUAAUAGUAUUGUUCCUUAAACAUUUGUCUGUAGCAUUGGUUCUUUGCGAUGUUAAUACAUAUUUUAUAAUCAAUACAAGUGAUAACUCUGUUUAUACGUGCA